GUGACAAUGGGCCUACAAGUUGACAACUCUUAUAGGUGGUUAGGAUGUGGCUGAUGAAUGGGUGAAAAUAUUGGGCCCACAAACCAUGAGGCAACUUUGACUUAAUGCCCAAGUCCGAUGUUCCCAGCUAUCCAUGUCUUUUCUCUUAAUCUCUCUCUUAAAUUACAAAAGCUUGCAUUGAGGUUACACAUGCCUGAGACCUUCAUUUACCAAAAUGGCCUCUCUAUGCCAAACUUUCAGGUCUUCUAAAAUUCUUCAUCGUAGAAUUGAACUAUACAGUCAUUGCACUUGCAAAUCAAUGCUCUAAUAAUCUAUGAAGUACCUACUGCUGCACUCCCAUUUCUGUUUUCAACUACAUUUAUAUCAUUGAAAGCAAGGUUCUUGAUCAGGACUUAUGAUUUCAUUAGACAAUUAUUGUUUGUCUUUGCCCAGUAGAUUUCUAACAAGAACAUUGUCUUCCAUGAACUAAUAUCGAUGAGGUUCUUGAUUACAUUUGAUGGAUGAGGUUCUUGACACAAUGCCGCUACUUGCGUGAUCAUUCAAGUUGUUUGAACUGCCAUGCUCAUUCCAGCAGUCCUUUCUGAUAUUUUGAAGACGGAAACUCUUGUUUUCUUCUUGAUUCAAUGAACUAGUCUCAGCUGAUGUCGAUUGUUCUUUAUCAUUCUUCUGUUCCUGUUUCUGUUCCUGUUCUGUUUCGUGGUCUAUAAAUUG
rnacentral:misc_RNA from 1 species